GUCUAUAACUCUACCACCCUGAAUGUGCCUGAUCUUGUCUGAUCUCUGACACUAAGCAGGGUUGGGCCUGGUUAGUGCUUGCAUGGGAGACUGCCUGGGAAUACCUGGUGCUAUAGGCU
rnacentral:rRNA from 1 species